GUAAUUCCAGCUCCAAUUGCGUAUAUUCAGGUUGUUGCAGUUAAAAAGCUCGUAGUUGAACUUUGGGUCUGGCUGGCCGGUCCGCCUCACCGCGAGUACUGGUCCGGCUGGACCUUUCCUUCUGGGGAACCUCAUGGCCUUCACUGGCUGUGGGGGGAACCAGGACUUUUACUGUGAAAAAAUUAGAGUGUUCAAAGCAGGCCUUUGCUCGAAUACAUUAGCAUGGAAUAAUAGAAUAGGACGUGCGGUUCUAUUUUGUUGGUUUCUAGGACCGCCGUAAUGAUUAAUAGGGAUAGUCGGGGGCGUCAGUAUUCAGCUGUCAGAGGUGAAAUUCUUGGAUUUGCUGAAGACUAACUACUGCGAAAGCAUUCGCCAAGGAUGUUUUCAUUAAUCAGGGAACGAAAGUUAGGGGAUCGAAGACGAUCAGAUACCGUCGUAGUCUUAACCAUAAACUAUGCCGACUAGGGAUCGGGCGGUGUUUCUAUGAUGACCCGCUCGGCACCUUACGAGAAAUCAAAGUUUUUGGGUUCUGGGGGGAGUAUGGUCGCAAGGCUGAAACUUAAAGAAAUUGACGGAAGGGCACCACAAGGCGUGGAGCCUGCGGCUUAAUUUGACUCAACACGGGGAAACUCACCAGGUCCAGACAAAAUAAGGAUUGACAGAUUGAGAGCUCUUUCUUGAUCUUUUGGAUGGUGGUGCAUGGCCGUUCUUAGUUGGUGGAGUGAUUUGUCUGCUUAAUUGCGAUAACGAACGAGACCUCGGCCCUUAAAUAGCCCGGUCCGCGUUUGCGGGCCGCUGGCUUCUUAGGGGGACUAUCGGCUCUCGCCGCUGGAAGUGCGCGGCAAUAACAG
rnacentral:rRNA from 1 species